CCUACGGGAGGCAGCAGUGGGGAAUCUUGCGCAAUGGGCGAAAGCCUGACGCAGCAACGCCGCGUGGGGGAUGAAGGCCCUCGGGUUGUAAACCCCUUUCAGCAGGGACGAAAUUGACGGUACCUGCAGAAGAAGCCCCGGCCAACUACGUGCCAGCAGCCGCGGUAAUACGUAGGGGGCGAGCGUUGUCCGGAUUCAUUGGGCGUAAAGAGCUCGUAGGCGGCUUGGCAAGUCAGGUGUGAAAUCUCUGGGCUCAACUCAGAGAGGCCACCUGAUACUGCUAUGGCUAGAGUCCGGUAGAGGAGAACGGAAUUCCCGGUGUAGCGGUGGAAUGCGCAGAUAUCGGGAGGAACACCUGUAGCGAAGGCGGUUCUCUGGGCCGGUACUGACGCUGAGGAGCGAAAGCGUGGGGAGCAAACAGGAUUAGAUACCCUUGUAGU
rnacentral:rRNA from 1 species